rnacentral:rRNA from 1 species
GACGAACGCUGGCGGCGUGCUUAACACAUGCAAGUCGAACGGAAAGGCCCUGCUUUUGUGGGGUGCUCGAGUGGCGAACGGGUGAGUAACACGUGAGUAACCUGCCCUUGACUUUGGGAUAACUUCAGGAAACUGGGGCUAAUACCGGAUAGGAGCUCCUGCUGCAUGGUGGGGGUUGGAAAGUUUCGGCGGUUGGGGAUGGACUCGCGGCUUAUCAGCUUGUUGGUGGGGUAGAGGCUUACCAAGGCUUUGACGGGUAGCCGGCCUGAGAGGGUGACCGGCCACAUUGGGACCGAGAUACGGCCCAGACUCCUACGGGAGGCAGCAGUGGGGAAUAUUGCACAAUGGGCGGAAGCCUGAUGCAGCAACGCCGCGUGCGGGAUGACGGCCUUCGGGUUGUAAACCGCUUUCGCCUGUGACGAAGCGUGAGUGACGGUAAUGGGUAAAGAAGCACCGGCUAACUACGUG